CUCCUGUUUCCAUUGAGGGGGCUGAGGAGUACAAGGUCGCUUCUAUCCUUGACUCUAGAAUCCUUAGGGGUAGUCUUCAGUAUCUUGUCCAUUGAAAGGAGUUAUGGUUCUGAGGAAUAUGCUUGGGUCCCUCACUUUGACAUCCAUGCUCCCCGAUUGGUCCAUCAUGCACGGUGGACGUUUCCUCCAUCACAGACUUACCUGCCACUUCCACCUGCUCUUUUCCCCUCCACGGGCUGCGUGAGCAGAACGCACCGCACGGCCACACUGCUCAUGUCCUCAGGUUGCGUUGUCUUAAUAGGAAAUAGAGUAGACUUACCUUUUGGUCCUGGAAUGGCUCCCUCUGCUGGUUCACGGCCUGAACUCCAGGCUUCUGUAAAGAUGUUUGGUAGCUGCUCGCUCCUGAGCACUUUAUUUAGAUUUGAAUUUCAUGAUGUCACCCCCGCUCUUAAAGGGACCACGUCAUCUGGGUGACCCUAUGCUGUUUGGAGGUGCAAAGAUGACCUGGACCAGAACACAUGAGAACCUAUUUAAAUUCUGUUUAGGCCCUUACUCAUUGCCCUAUCAUGGAUUUCCUGUUAUUGACCUUGGCUUUGUUUUGACGUUUGAUGUUAACCUCUGUUAUCCUGACCAGGCUUGUAUAUUGACUUGUGUGUUUCUUUUAUACUGACCUGUUUUUCGUGUAUUCAUAUCUAUGCCCUGCCCUCGGAUAUUCCUGACUUUGAGUCUUUCUUGUAAUACGGUAAAUCCGGCCACUCUAAGGGCUCAUUUUUAAAAAGCCCUGUGAGGCAAAACGCGUGAAUGGUUUUUAUUUGUGUAUUUUAGCAAUAAAAGUUUUUAGGUUGCUUAAAGCUGUACCAAUUCUCUUUUUAUUGUAAUUUAUAUGCACUCUUUUUACCAUUUAUUGCUGGUAUUUUUAUGUAUCCUGUAUUCAAAGAAAUCCUACAUGGGGAUCAUUCUACCAACGCUACUACAAUAGAGCAGUAUCUUCUGCUCUACACUUGUGAGUAUAAUUUUAUACCACAUUUUUUACAACUUGAGAGCACUAUUAUAAUCUUUUAUAUACCUGUAACUUUGGAUAUUUAGACCGGACUGACGGACACACCUCUCCAUUGUAUCCCAUAGCGGGGAUUGUAUCGCUUAACGCCCUUCACUCCAGAGCUGGUUUAAGCUAUUUUAAAUGUGAGUUUACUACCUUCUUUUUAUCCAUUUUACCCUUGGAUUUUGACAUAUUACACUAUCAGCUGUUUGUCGUAUGUCCGCUUGUCUCUCCACAUAUAUGGAUAUUUUAUCCAUCCAGACGGAUCAACUCCUGAGGAUUGUACCCCUAUUUUAUCCUGUUAUAUUAGUGAGACUUUUAUAUGAAUAUUUUAUCAUCUGGACAGAUCAACUCCUGAGGAUAACACCGUUAUUUUAGUGAGACUAACCAUUUAUCUGUUGUAUAAUCACCUAGACCAACUGAUCUGUUUUCUAUUGUAUAUUUAUUGCUACGAGACUUUUGGCACAACCCUCACCUUCUUUUUCUAUUCUUACAUCUUGCUUUUAAAGGGUGUAAGAGGCAUUAUUUUACAUAUUAUGUGUUAUCUGUUAAUUGUUUUAAAUACUAUAUAAAACCAGGCGGGAUAUCUAAAUAUACAAACGGAAGAGAACUGUCGAAAUGUAAACUCAUUUAGAGAUAUCUAGUCACGAGAUAUGGGCGAACGGGACUGUUGACCUAUUAUGUGAUUGUAACAACGCCUAAUAUACAG